ACCAGGUGAUCUACCCAUGUCCAGGGUGAAGUUCAGGUAACACUGAAUGGAGGCCCGAACCCACGCACGUUGAAAAGUGCGGGGAUGAGGUGUGGGUAGCGGAGAAAUUCCAAUCGAACCUGGAGAUAGCUGGUUCUCCCCGAAAUAGCUUUAGGGCUAGCCUUAAGUGUAAGAGUCUUGGAGGUAGAGCACUGAUUGGACUAGGGGUCCUCAUCGGAUUACCGAAUUCAGUCAAACUCCGAAUGCCAAUGACUUAUCCUUAGGAGUCAGACUGCGAGUGAUAAGAUCCGUAGUCAAAAGGGAAACAGCCCAGACCGCCAGCUAAGGUCCCAAAGUGUGUAUUAAGUGGAAAAGGAUGUGGAGUUGCUUAGACAACUAGGAUGUUGGCUUAGAAGCAGCCACCAUUUAAAGAGUGCGUAAUAGCUCACUAGUCGAGUGACUCUGCGCCGAAAAUGUACCGGGGCUAAAUACACCACCGAAGCUGCGGAUUGAUACCGAAUGGUAUCAGUGGUAGGGGAGCGUUCUAAGGACAGUGAAGUCAGACCGGAAGGACUGGUGGAGUGCUUAGAAGUGAGAAUGCCGGUAUGAGUAGCGAAAGACGGGUGAGAAUCCCGUCCACCGAAUGCCUAAGGUUUCCUGAGGAAGGCUCGUCCGCUCAGGGUUAGUCAGGACCUAAGCCGAGGCCGACAGGCGUAGGCGAUGGACAACAGGUUGAUAUUCCUGUACCACCUCUUUAUCGUUUGAGCAAUGGAGGGACGCAGAAGGAUAGAAGAAGCGUGCGAUUGGUUGUGCACGUCCAAGCAGUUAGGCUGAUAAGUAGGCAAAUCCGCUUAUCGUAAAGGCUGAGCUGUGAUGGGGAAGCUCCUUAUGGAGCGAAGUCUUUGAUUCCCCGCUGCCAAGAAAAGCUUCUAGCGAGAUAAAAGGUGCCUGUACCGCAAACCGACACAGGUAGGCGAGGAGAGAAUCCUAAGGUGUGCGAGAGAACUCUGGUUAAGGAACUCGGCAAAAUGACCCCGUAACUUCGGGAGAAGGGGUGCUUUCUUAACGGAAAGCCGCAGUGAAUAGGCCCAAGCGACUGUUUAGCAAAAACACAGCUCUCUGCGAAGCCGUAAGGCGAAGUAUAGGGGGUGACACCUGCCCGGUGCUGGAAGGUUAAGGAGAGGGGUUAGCGUAAGCGAAGCUCUGAACUGAAGCCCCAGUAAACGGCGGCCGUAACUAUAACGGUCCUAAGGUAGCGAAAUUCCUUGUCGGGUAAGUUCCGACCCGCACGAAAGGUGUAACGAUUUGGGCACUGUCUCAACCAGAGACUCGGUGAAAUUAUAGUACCUGUGAAGAUGCAGGUUACCCGCGACAGGACGGAAAGACCCCGUGGAGCUUUACUGUAGCCUGAUAUUGAAUUUUGGUACAGUUUGUACAGGAUAGGCGGGAGCCUUUGAAACCGGAGCGCUAGCUUCGGUGGAGGCGCUGGUGGGAUACCGCCCUGACUGUAUUGAAAUUCUAACCUACGGGUCUUAUCGACCCGGGAGACAGUGUCAGGUGGGCAGUUUGACUGGGGCGGUCGCCUCCUAAAGUGUAACGGAGGCGCCCAAAGGUUCCCUCAGAAUGGUUGGAAAUCAUUCGUAGAGUGCAAAGGCAUAAGGGAGCUUGACUGCGAGACCUACAAGUCGAGCAGGGACGAAAGUCGGGCUUAGUGAUCCGGUGGUUCCGCAUGGAAGGGCCAUCGCUCAACGGAUAAAAGCUACCCCGGGGAUAACAGGCUUAUCUCCCCCAAGAGUCCACAUCGACGGGGAGGUUUGGCACCUCGAUGUCGGCUCAUCGCAUCCUGGGGCUGUAGUCGGUCCCAAGGGUUGGGCUGUUCGCCCAUUAAAGCGGUACGCGAGCUGGGUUCAGAACGUCGUGAGACAGUUCGGUCCCUAUCCGUCGUGGGCGUAGGAAAUUUGAGAGGAGCUGUCCUUAGUACGAGAGGACCGGGAUGGACGCACCGCUGGUGUACCAGUUGUUCUGCCAAGGGCAUAGCUGGGUAGCUAUGUGCGGAAGGGAUAAGUGCUGAAAGCAUCUAAGCAUGAAGCCCCCCUCAAGAUGAGAUUUCCCAUAGCGUAAGCUAGUAAGAUCCCUGAAAGAUGAUCAGGUUGAUAGGUUCGAGGUGGAAGCAUGGUGACAUGUGGAGCUGACGAAUACUAAUAGAUCGAGGACUUAACCAUAUAA
rnacentral:rRNA from 1 species